rnacentral:rRNA from 1 species
AUUGAACGCUGGCGGCAUGCCUUACACAUGCAAGUCGAACGGCAGCACGGGAGCAAUCCUGGUGGCGAGUGGCGAACGGGUGAGUAAUAUAUCGGAACGUGCCCGGUCGUGGGGGAUAACGUAGCGAAAGCUACGCUAAUACCGCAUACGAUCUACGGAUGAAAGCGGGGGAUCGCAAGACCUCGCGCGAUUGGAGCGGCCGAUAUCAGAUUAGGUAGUUGGUGAGGUAAAGGCUCACCAAGCCGACGAUCUGUAGCUGGUCUGAGAGGACGACCAGCCACACUGGGACUGAGGCACGGCCCAGACUCCUACGGGAGGCAGCAGUGGGGAAUUUUGGACAAUGGGCGCAAGCCUGAUCCAGCAAUGCCGCGUGCAGGAUGAAGGCCU